CAGCAGCGCGAGCCAACAGCCGGGAGCCUGCUCCCCUCCGUCGCGGGCCACUGCCGUGCCGCGCAGCUCCAGUCGCCGCGGGCCGCGACGCCCGCCUCCCGCCGCCUUGGGCCCCGCCGCGUCGCGCCCAGCGGCGUGAGCGAGCGAACAACCGUGAGCCGCGGCGCCCGCCUCCCGCCGCCUUGGGCCCCGCCGCGUCGCCCACGCCUCCAGCCGCCGCUCGCUAGGGUUGCUGUGUGUGAGUCGGG
rnacentral:rRNA from 1 species